CUUCCAUUUCUUGGUGGGACAGAUAAAUAGGCCUGUUUUUUUGAUAUGUAUGGAAGCAGAAGAGAAGGGCUCAAGCCUUCUUGGUGUCAUGUCUUUGGGGCUGGUGAUUUCUCCUUUGCUGGUUCUAUCCUCAAAUGCCACUGGGUCAGGA